rnacentral:rRNA from 1 species
CCUACGGGAGGCAGCAGUGAGGAAUAUUGGUCAAUGGGCGCAAGCCUGAACCAGCCAAGUCGCGUGAGGGAUGACGGUCCUAUGGAUUGUAAACCUCUUUUGUCGGGGAGCAAGGCCCGCCACGUGUGGCGGGAAGGAGAGUACCCGAAGAAAAAGCAUCGGCUAACUCCGUGCCAGCAGCCGCGGUAAUACGGAGGAUGCGAGCGUUAUCCGGAUUUAUUGGGUUUAAAGGGUGCGUAGGCGGAAGGUUAAGUCAGCGGUCAAAUGUCGGUGCUCAACACCGGCCUGCAGUUGAAACUGGUCGUCUUGAGUGAGCGAGAGGUAUGCGGAAUGCGUGGUGUAGCGGUGAAAUGCAUAGAUAGCACGCAGAACUCGGAUUGCGAAGGCAGCAUACCGGCGCUCAACUGACGCGGAGGCACGAAGGCGUGGGGAUCGAGCAGGAUUAGAUACCCUUGUAGUC